UAAGGCAUGUUUUCUGCCUUCCCUUUCCUUUCCAUGGGUCAACCAGACAUGCUGCCCUUCACGACCAAAAGGGAAGAGGAGGCUCAGAGCCAUCCCUCAAACAUUUCCGUUGGAUGCAGUGACUGCUCGCUCCGAAGCAAGACCACCAGCAGAUCCCACUUCAUCUACAUUUUCGUGUCUUAUUACUCCGGAUAAGGAGUGAAUGUCCGGGACUGCUGCUGAUGGAUUUUCUCAUGACCAGAAUAGGAGGAGAGCACUUGGGAGGAGGUCUCAGCCAAUCCCCAGAGACCUGUAAUC